GAUGAAGAACGCAGCGAAAUGCGAUAAGUAAUGUGAAUUGCAGAAUUCAGUGAAUCAUCGAAUCUUUGAACGCACAUUGCGCCCGCCAGUAUUCUGGCGGGCAUGCCUGUUCGAGCGUCAUUUCAACCAUCAAGCCCCCGGCUUGUGUUGGGGACAUGCGGCUGCCGCAGGCCCUGAAAAGCAGUGGCGGGCUCGCUGUCACACCGAGCGUAGUAGCAUACAUCUCGCUCUGGGCGUGCUGCGGGUUCCGGCCGUUAAACCACCUUCAUAACCCAAGGUUGACCUCGGAUCAGGUAGGAAGACCCGCUGAACUUAAGCAUAUCAAUAAGCGGAGGA
rnacentral:misc_RNA from 1 species